rnacentral:rRNA from 1 species
UACGUAGGGGGCAAGCGUUGUCCGGAAUCAUUGGGCGUAAAGCGCGUGUAGGCGGUCCGAUAAGUCGGUUGUGAAAGUCAAGGGCUCAACCCUUGAAUGCCGACCGAUACUGUCGGGCUAGAGUCCGGAAGAGGUGAGUGGAAUUCCUGGUGUAGCGGUGAAAUGCGCAGAUAUCAGGAGGAACACCAAUGGCGAAGGCAGCACUCUGGGACGUGACUGACGCUGAGACGCGAAAGCGUGGGGAGCAAACAGG